GACGAACGCUGGCGGCGUGCUUAACACAUGCAAGUCGAACGGUGAAGCGCCUUCCUUUUUGGUGGGUGUGGAUGAGUGGCGAACGGGUGAGUAACACGUGAGUAACCUGCCCCCUUCUUCUGGAUAACCGCAUGAAAGUGUGGCUAAUACGGGAUAUUCUGGGUCUGUCGCAUGAUGGGUCUGGGACAGAUAUUGUUUCGGUGGGGGAUGGGCUCGCGGCCUAUCAGCUUGUUGGUGGGGUGAUGGCCUACCAAGGCGGUGACGGGUAGCCGGCCUGGGAGGGUGGACGGUCACACGGGGACGGAGACACGGACCAGACUCCGACGGGAGGCAGCAGUGGGGAAUAUUGCACAAUGGGCGGAAGCAUGAUGCAGCGACGCCGCGUGAGGGAUGGAGGCCUUCGGGUUGUGAACCUCUUUCGCCAGUGAAGCAGGGCUGCCUCGUUUGUGGGUGGGUUGACGGUAGCUGGAGAAGAAGCGCCGGCUAACUACGUG
rnacentral:rRNA from 1 species